rnacentral:rRNA from 1 species
CUGGGAAUCUUGCGCAAUGGACGAAAGUCUGACGCAGCGACGCCGCGUGUGGGAAGAAGGCCUUCGGGUCGUAAACCACUGUGGUAUGGGAAUAAACAAAUGAAGGUACCAUACUAGAAAGCACCUGCUAACUACGUGCCAGAAGCCUCGGUAAUACGUAGGGUGCAAGCGUUAUCCGGAUUUACUGGGCGUAAAGCGUUCUGUAGGCGGUUUUGUAAGUAUAUGGUUAAAGGCUGCGGCUCAACCGUAGACAUGCUGUAUAAACUACAAGACUAGAUGGUUGUCGGGAGUAUCGGAAUUCUCGGUGGAGGGGUGAAAUCCGUUGAUAUCGAGAGGAACACCAAAGGCGAAGGCAGAUACUUAGGCAAUUUAUGACGCUGAUAGACGACAGCUAGGGGAG